rnacentral:lncRNA from 1 species
CAAGCACGACGUUACAGAUGAACCCAGCCCAGAUGCCUAUUUUCCUCUUCACUUAAAGCUUGGAGACAUAACAACACCGUAUGUUACAAGGCUUUUGCUGAGGGUAUGAGAGCACGUGCCUCAGCCGUGCUUACCUCAUUUGGAGAAUUCCUGCUGCCAGCCAAAUGUGACACUAAAAUUACUUCUCUGUAAUGAGCUUAAAGUAAAAAGUUGCAGACAGAAGCUGGCACAAAGAGAAGAGGUGUAGGAAGCCAUAAGCUUUUAUUUUUGUCUUGUAAUUAUGUCAAUAAAGUAGCUUAAGUGAGGAAAUUGUCAUUUUCCUCCCUCUUUGGAUGAUGAUGUUAAAAUUGCCCAGCUUGGAUGUGCGUUGACUUACGGAGAAAAAAAAAAAAAGCAAAAUACAAAAAGCAAAAUCAGAUUCCAGAAAGCUUUUUUUUUUUCUAUUUGUAAAAUAACAAACUGAUCCUCUAAACUGUUUUUGAUGCAGCUGUUCACUCUCUACAUAAUCAGUAACUAUUUCUAUGCCAUCUCUGUCUUUUCAUAUUAUUUUCAGUAUUUGAUGAAUAAAUCAUAAGACUCCCUGUCUCUACCUAUGCUAUUUGUAAUUUAAAGUGAUUUUGUGUGAGCCCCUUAUUCUAUCACUGUGUUAGCCCAGUUUCUGAUUAAUAGAAAACAGCCACAACAAUUUCAAUUUUCUCCCUGCUGCAAAAGAGCAACAGACCAAUUCCAGACUGAACCUAUGUAAGUUUCUUGCCUGGCUUCAGACGUGAUCAGGAAUUAGCUGCCUAUAUAGUGCACAGGGAAGGUUCAGAAAUGAUUUUAAAAGUAGCUUGUACUCAGCAAAUGGAGCUAUUUAGAUGGAGCAACUUGGGCAUGCACUGCACAGAUACGUGUCAAAAAUCCCAUCCUUGGCUUCAUCAGCAGGUUUAGGGGUUCCAAUAGGCAUCUUCAUCCCUGGGGAAAUCAGAGACAGGCAUAUUCUGAUCACCAGGACAGAUCAUCAGGCCUCUUGUAUAAAUUGGAAGCUACCAGUAAGGGGUGAGCAUAGAGGGAAAAAAAAAAUAAUAUGCUGGUGGUGAUCACUUCCCAUGAGAACCCCCCCCCCCUCCAUAGCAGUGAUACUGACAAGGUGUAGAGCUGUGAGUGAAAGCCGGACUGCAGAGGGAAAGCCCUCAGAUUUACACAGGUUAAGGCACUUAGGGUACCGAGCAACAAUUUAGUGAGAAGCCAAAAUGUGAUGGUCGGUGUUAGGAGCUCUGGUACCCUCUUGGUUAAGAGGCACCCUCAAAUACUGGGUAUAGGAAGCCUGACGGAUUUUGUGGGCAAUGCAGAAGCAAUGUGUAGAGAGAGCAUGUGAGGUGUUUAAUAAACACAGCAAAAUGGAGCA